rnacentral:rRNA from 1 species
AGUGAACGCUGGCGGUAGGCCUAACACAUGCAAGUCGAACGGCAGCACAGUAAGAGCUUGCUCUUACGGGUGGCGAGUGGCGGACGGGUGAGGAAUACAUCGGAAUCUACUUUUUCGUGGGGGAUAACGUAGGGAAACUUACGCUAAUACCGCAUACGACCUACGGGUGAAAGCAGGGGAUCUUCGGACCUUGCGCGAUUGAAUGAGCCGAUGUCGGAUUAGCUAGUUGGCGGGGUAAGGGCCCACCAAGGCGACGAUCCGUAGCUGGUCUGAGAGGAUGAUCAGCCACACUGGAACUGAGACACGGUCCAGACUCCUACGGGAGGCAGCAGUGGGGAAUAUUGGACAAUGGGCGCAAGCCUGAUCCAGCCAUACCGCGUGGGUGAAGAAGGCCUUCGGGUUGUAAAGCCCUUUUGUUGGGAAAGAAAAGCAGCAGGUUAAUACCCCGCUGUUCUGACGGUACCAAAAGAAUAAGCACCGGCUAACUUCGUG